rnacentral:rRNA from 1 species
GGAUCUCUUGGUUCUGGCAUCGAUGAAGAACGCAGCGAAAUGCGAUAAGUAGUGUGAAUUGCAGAAUUCAGUGAAUCAUCGAAUCUUUGAACGCACAUUGCGCCCCUUGGUAUUCCAUGGGGCAUGCCUGUUCGAGCGUCAUUUGUACCCUCAAGCUAUGCUUGGUGUUGGGUGUUUGUCCUAUCCAUUGCGACUGGACUCGCCUUAAAGUUAUUGGCAGCCGGCAUAUAGGCCUUUGGAGCGCAGCACAAUUUGCGAUCUAAGCCCUUAUACUGGCAUCCAUCAAGCCUUUUUAUCACUUUUGACCUCGGAUCAGGUAGGGAUACCCGCUGAACUUAAGCAUAUCAAUAAGCGGAGGAAAGGGCGAAUUCUGCAGAUAUCCAUCACACUGGCGGCCGCUCGAGCAUGCAUCUAGAGGGCCCAAUUCGCCCUAUAGUGAGUCGUAUUACAAUUCACUGGCCCGUCGAUUUAC